rnacentral:rRNA from 1 species
CUACGGAGGGUGCAAGCGUUACUCGGAAUCACUGGGCGUAAAGCGCGCGCAGGCGGGCUGAUAAGUUGGAUGUGAAAGCCUACGGCUCAACCGUAGAACUGCAUCCAAAACUGUCAGGCUAGAGUGUGGGAGAGGAAGAUGGAAUUAGUUGUGUAGGGGUAAAAUCCGUAGAGAUAACUAGGAAUACCAAAAGCGAAGGCAAUCUUCUGGAACACUACUGACGCUGAGGCGCGAAGGCGUGGGGAGCAAACAGGAUUAGAAACCCCGGUAGUCC